UACGAAGGGGGCGAGCGUUGUUCGGAAUCAUUGGGCGUAAAGGGCGCGUAGGCGGGUUUGUAAGUCGAUUGUGAAAUCCCUGGGCUUAACCCGGGAAUUGCAGUCGAAACUGCAAGUCUUGAGUUCUCGAGAGGAUGGUGGAAUUCCUGGAGUAGUAGUGAAAUACGUAGAUAUCAGGAGGAACACCGGAGGCGAAGGCGGCCAUCUGGCGAGACACUGACGCUAAGGCGCGAAAGCGUGGGUAGCAAACAGG
rnacentral:rRNA from 1 species